AGAGCAAAUCGAGGGAAACCAAUAAGGGGCUUUUGAUCCUUGAGGGAAGGGGAUAAUUUCUGGAGAUUUUGGGAAUUUUUGGGGUAGUAUAGGGGGUGUUUUCGCAUAUAUAUACAUGCGGCCGUAUAUAUAUAUAUAUAUAUUUUGCGUGAAAUACCAAAUCGGGUUGUAGAGUGAUCGAUCGAGUGAUCUAAUAAGGGGCUUUUGUUCGCAAGGUGAUGGGUAACUGAUCUGGAAAUUUUCGUGCCAAUCGGAGUUCGAAUCGAGGGUCAAUUUGAUUCGUCGGAGUUCGGUGGCGGGAUAGCUUCGGCCGACUGUUUUUGGCCAAAUCAGAAGGGUUUCGGUGGUCUUUUCCGUGCAAGAUUGGUACCAUUGGGAUCGACUAAGGGAGAGGAUCAGCCUGGCGUCGUCGCUUCAAUUUUCCGGUGUACCGUCGCCGGAGAAGAUGACCGGAGGGUGCCUUGAGGCUUGAGACGAAGUGACUCGUGCGAAGUUCGAAGAAUUUGAAAUUUCGCCAAAGGUGAAAGCAGUGGCGCCAAGGGAAAGAAUAUCAUCGAGAUGUAGCAGCUAUGUUUAGCUUUCGUAGGUUUUGUCCAUGAUUACGAUGUUCAGAGGUUAAGUAAUAUUUUGAUAUUUUCAUGUGAAACAUCGAUUUGGUUAUUGUAAAGGAAUUGUCGGUUAUAUAUCAUUGAGGUUUCGAUCUUGCUUCCGCUGAUGUGAUUGUUGAUACCUGUCUUAGUUUAUUAUUAAAUUUUGAUAUGCUAAGAAGGUACGAUCGGGAUUGACGGGAAAUGAUUAUGAUGAAGGUAUAUGUAUUGAGAGACUUACGUUGUGUGUUUGAUGUUGAGAAAAAAAAAAAAUAUUUUCGAAAUCUCGAGUUAACGCUCGUUGUGGGAAAACGGGGCGUUACAAAAUAAAUAUGGUGUCUAGGGAUCAUUGUGGCUCGAGAUUAAGUAAUCUCUAAGUUUGGCAUGAAAAUCAAGGUCGGGCACAUAAAUCGAGGCGAUACACAUUUUUCGAGGUGUUCUAAACUUGGGGCAAAAGCUAAGUGGUUCACCCAAAACCAGUUUUAUACAAAUAAUUAUAUCAUAUUAAUAUGCUCUGUUAUGUUAUGUAUCAUAUAGAGUCAUUUAUAUGUAUUGAUGACAAAUUAUGCAUAUGUUCACGAUGAGAUUAUUAAUCAUGCAACACAUAAGGGUUUGGGAUUAGGGAUUGGCGCCGCUACUGUAGAGGCCCUCACCCAGAUAAUCCGGCUAGUAUAGGAAAUCAGAGAGGAGGUCGUCACAAAAAUGGAUACAGAAACAAUAACUUAACUUACACAAUUCUUUAGACUCAAAGGCCAUACAAUCAAAAUAUAAGGGCAAAUAUCAUUUACAAAAUGAAUCUAACUCUACAUGCUCUCAAAACAAACCACUCCCAUGGGCCUUUUCGGCUGGGAUAUCUGUGUACACCACUAAACUCGGGCUCUGGCCCACUUUACUCGCCU